CAAAAAAAAAAAAUCUUUCUGUCAUCAUUCCUCGGAUCAGGUCCCCAGUUGGAAAAUUAUUUGGCAGCUCAAAUGAAAAUCUCUAUUUUUACUCUCUAAAUGUUUGUUUUAGGUAUUUGUGUGUGUGAAAGUAUCCAGAAUUGGGGUUUUUUUAUUGCAUUUGCAUGUGAGUUUACAGUUAAUUGAAGCUUCUAGUUGAAAUUGGGAACUUAAUUCAAUGUAUAAUUGAUGUUGAUCAUAGGCGUUUGACUUAGAACUGUUCAUGCUCAUAGAGAAUAUGGUUUAACCCAAAACCAAAUAAAGUUGCAUGCUUCCUGUACAAUUUGAUAAAAAUGGUUUUCUUCUAUAAUUUCAUGGUUGGUGUCUAAAAUUUGGAAACCGAAUGGGCAGUUCAGGUGAGAAUUUGGUUAUGACCUACUUGACUCAACGUAUAUGUUAUGUAGUCCUAUUGAAAAUGUUGAGCUCAAAAAUAAAAUGCUUAUUACUGGGGAACGUUUGAUUUUUUAGAGGACGCAUUCCUAAAACAUUUCCAUACCUAUUGUACAAACACAUGCCUAGAUCUUGAUGGG
rnacentral:misc_RNA from 1 species